rnacentral:sRNA from 1 species
UAUGUCAAAUGUCAGAGGCCCUAUCG